ACCUGGGUGGCUCAGGGGGCUGAGCAUCUGACUUGGACUCAGUUCAUGAUCUCGCGGUUCGUGGGUUCGAGCCCCACGUCCGGCU
rnacentral:tRNA from 1 species